rnacentral:rRNA from 1 species
UACGGAGGGUGCAAGCGUUAUCCGGAUUUACUGGGUUUAAAGGGUGCGUAGGUGGACUAGUAAGUCAGUGGUGAAAUCUCCGGGCUUAACCCGGAAACUGCCAUUGAUACUAUUGGUCUUGAAUACUUUGGAGGUAAGCGGAAUAUGUCAUGUAGCGGUGAAAUGCUUAGAUAUGACAUAGAACACCAAUUGCGAAGGCAGCUUACAUACACGAUGAUGACACUGAGGCACGAAAGCGUGGGGAUCAAACAGG